AUCUACGGCCAUGCCACCCUGAACACGUCUGAUCUCAUCUGAUCUCGGAAACUAAGCAAGGUCGGGCCUGGUUAGUACUUGGAUGGGAGACCACCUAGGAAGACCGGCUGCUGUAGGCA
rnacentral:rRNA from 1 species